rnacentral:rRNA from 1 species
GCCGAUGGUCAUACCACCCUGAAUGGCCUAGUCUUAUCUGACUUGGAAGCUAAGCAGGGUCUGGCCUGGUUAGUACUGGGAUGGGAGAAAUUAAGUGGAAUAGGUC